CGGAACAGUCAGUGGGAAGUUGCACACAGAAUAAGAAAAUUCUUGCAGGAAAUUUGAGUGUUAGGAAUUAGAGCUACUUAAGGAUUUAAAGCUGAAGUGGGAUGCCUAAAUCUAAUACUGUGAUGCUGAAUGCAGCCCUUGCCAGACUUUCAAUGUGUACGAACUCCAAAGGUUUAAAGCUCUCCAGAUGUUUACAGUCAUUUUGAUCUCUGGGUCUCAAAAGUGCUCCCACCCCAUCCAGGCUGAGCUGUUCAGGAAUGUCAUGUGAAUCUGAAGCUCUUUGGGAUCCAGAAAUUUAGCAUUUCUUUCCCCAGUUCCUUGCACAGCUCAGCCUGGUAGGCUUGCACUAAGAAUACCUCAGACAAAAGGGGAGCAGCUUAGACCACCUUGAGCUCCUACAAGCGCUUCCUGGAGGCUGCAUCCACACAUGGGCCACAGCAAGGGAAGCCCAGGGCCUGAUGUUUCACCAUCUGUGGGUUCUGUGCCAGCUCUUGAGAUCAAAGUCUUGGCACAUUGCAUACUUUCACGUGGAUGUUAAAAAGCCCUCAGGACUCAAAUCAUGGGAGUCAUUUCCUGAAGCUGAGUUCAUUUAAAUGAACCAUUCCAUCAGACACUGACAUCCUCUCUACAAUCUCUUAGAUUGAUCCAAAUUCCCAACUUUGUUUCCAGAAAUCUGGGGCUUUUCCUGCAUAGGUGAAGAAGAAGCCACCAUCAUGGCAGGCAAGGCAAGAACAGGGAUGAAUGCCUGACCAUAAUAUGCACACAGGAACUUACUCUGCCAAGCACAGAAUGAAUCAGAGGGAUAUGAGAGGACCUAAGGAUUCAGCUCAACUUUUCCCACUGUGCCCAUUCACAGCUGCAUUCAGUGGCACUAAGUCACAAGACAGAUAUCCAGCAGCACUUCUACAUCUGCCCCUGCCCCAGGAUUCUGUGGUCAGUGCCCCCAAACAAGGCACAUCCUUCACAGAAGUACAAGCAAGUCAGUGCAGGAAUGAGGACACAGGUAAAG
rnacentral:lncRNA from 1 species